AAACAUUUUCUUUUGUUAAAAUUCAGUUAGUAAAAAUUUGACUUUCAAAAUUAUUACUCUUUUUCGCAAUCAAUAUAAAUCACGCCACAAAUCCCUCCUCGCAAUACUUUUUCUAAAUUGUUUAUGUCAAACCAGCAACUUGUUGUAUUGACUGUUAUUUUCAAAGGCGCUUUGCUCUUCGGCUUCAGGAAUUUUACAUUUAAGGCUUACUUUAUAAUAGGUCUUAUCAAUUUCACCGAGAUAAUCGAUGAGAUUAACUCUGCAAAAUGAUUCUUCCUUUGAUGGAUGAAAUUCAAUGUUGAGACUGAAAGGGCCUGGUUCAUCUGGCAAGCAGAAGUUGGACUCGAAUUCGCUCAACGGAAUUUCAGUAUAUGCUGACCAAGCGAUUUUUAAAUGGAGAAAAGAAUUGUUAUAAACCAUAACUGUCAAUUCUUUUUUCUCAAAUGGUGACAAGGCACCGAACCUGUUGAAAUUUCACUUUUUCAAACUGCCAAACGAUUUAAUAAAUCAAUGUACCUUAGCAAUGGUUCAUCGCAAUAAGGGGCGAACAUAAACCAAGCUGGUUUUCCUGAGGAAUUGAUUAGCACUGGAAUAUGAAUUGGAUCCAGUGGCCAAUUCAGAUAAGGAACACUGGAUGUCGUGGAGUCAACGUAUUUAAGUGUAUUCUCCUCAGCGAUGUCUUUUGGAUCGUAAGGAACCUGAUUUAAACAGCCAUUAUGCAUGUUUCCAAACUGCCCAAGAACACAGACAUACCUUCAUGUUAUUGAAAUUUGCUCCGGUCAUGCAAACACAACAACUAGGGUCUGUCGGGCCAGUAUCUUUGGACACAUCAUGCUUAGUAGGUGAUUAUUUAACAUGGAACAGUAUAAACAUUUUCAACAACUAAUGAAAACAGCAGAAAUCAAUAGUAACUGAAGCCGAGAACACUAAAAUGUGAAAAUAAUUUAACCUAAAAGUGAAAUGGAGACCGUAAAAGGUCGUCACCUAUCAUUGCACCCCAAGUGUAUGAGGCCUCUAAAAAGCUGUAGUUCCUUAACUGGACUGUUAUUUCAUGUGGGACGUAUACAUAAACGCUACUGGGCAUUAUGUAGUGAAGAGGGUACCAAGCAGUUCGUUUUUAGAGAAACUAGGAAAAUCUUUUAGUGCCCAUCUAGAUGGAUCUCCUGAUGACAGAAUAUGAAUUAUAUGAGCUAACUGUUGUUUACGGUUGUCAGCAAAUUGUACUUAGCUCUUCCGACUUUUGGAAGAUUUACGAGAUUGAUUGACUUUGGCAAGGUUGGGCAUUGUAACUUUAGUUCCUUAUCAUCAUGCCGCUCCAGAGUUCUUGCAUUCACUGCUUGAACUGCAAGCAUCUGGUUUUCGACUUCGCCAAUUUGCUGGAGCGCAGAAAGUCUCGAAGUGUUUCUUGCAAUACAGGAGUGGAGUCGAGAGUUCUCCAUGACUUGCCUUCAACUCCUUUUGGGAUCAGGGGAAGCACAGUUAGCUUUGGAUCUGACAUUGUAUAAAAAAUUAAUAAUGUAUAAAUAA